ACAGGUCCUCUUUUACUUUUUGCUGUGACAAUAUGAGUUCGGAAGCUGCACUUAUUCUUAAAGCUUCAAAUUUUGCUGCAGAGAAGCACAAACAACAGAAAGGACCCUGACAAAAUUAACCACCCAUUAGGUGUCGCAAGAAUACUGUCUCACGAGGCUGAAUUAACAGAUACAGCAGUGCUCCAGGCUGGUCAGAAGAGAGAGUCCAAGAAUAUUUUCAAUGGGCAUCUGAAGUGGUGAGAGGAAUACGAGGUAAAAAUUCCAUUCUGGAGGCAAAACUAGACCACUUGUUUAUAGAUCAAGGCAUUGCAGUCUAAUCCAUGUUAUAUCUCAAAUUUGGAAAUUAUGAACUUGCUAAACUUUAAAUACACUGCUACACUGAUGUUGGCUGGCAGUGGAUUUGGGAGUUGUAGU